rnacentral:pre_miRNA from 1 species
CACAUACUCCCUCCGUCCCAAAAUUCUUGUCUUAGAUUUGUCUAGAUACGGAUGUAUCUAAUACUAAAAUAUGACUUGAUACAUCCGUAUUUAGACAAAUCUAAGACAAGAAUUUUGGAACGGAGGGAGUACUAA